GACUCUCGGCAACGGAUAUCUUGGUUCUCGCAUCGAUGAAGAACGUAGCGAAAUGCGAUACUUGGUGUGAAUUGCAGAAUCCCGCGAACCAUCGAGUCUUUGAACGCAAGUUGCGCCCGAGGCUAUCCGGCCGAGGGCACGCCUGCCUGGGCGUCACGCCUAGCGUCGCUCCG
rnacentral:rRNA from 1 species